GACGAACGCUGGCGGCGUGCUUAACACAUGCAAGUCGAACGGAAAGGCCCUGCUUUUGUGGGGUGCUCGAGUGGCGAACGGGUGAGUAACACGUGAGUAACCUGCCCUUGACUUUGGGAUAACUUCAGGUAACUGGGGCUAAUACCGGAUAGGAGCUCCUGAUGCAUGGUGGGGGUUGGAAAGUUUCGGCGGUCAGGGAUGGACUCGCGGCUUAUCAGCUCGUUGGUGGGGUAGUGGCUUACCAAGGCUUUGACGGGUAGCCGGCCUGAGAGGGUGACCGGCCACAUUGGGACUGAGAUACGGCACAGACUCCUACGGGAGGCAGCAGUGGGGAAUAUUGAACAAUGGGCGGAAGCCUGAUGCAGCAACGCCGCGUGCGGGAUGACGGCCUUCGGGUUGUAAACCGCUUUCGCCUGUGACGAAGCGUGAGUGACGGUAAUGGGUAAAGAAGCACCGGCUAACUACGUG
rnacentral:rRNA from 1 species